rnacentral:rRNA from 1 species
AGGGAGACCGCCGGGGAGAACUCGGAGGAAGGUGGGGAUGACGUCAAGUCAGCAUGCCCCUUACGUCUUGGGCUACACACGUACUACAAUGGUUGGGACAAAGGGGAGCGAAACCGCGAGGUGGAGCGAAUCUCAUCAAACCCAGCCACAGUUCAGAUUGCAGGCUGAAACUCGCCUGCAUGAAGGAGGAAUCGCUAGUAAUCGCAGGUCAGCAUACUGCGGUGAAUCCGUUCCCGGGUCUUGUACACAC